UUCGCCCUUAGAGUUUGAUCCUGGCUCAGAACGAACGCUGGCGGCAGGCCUAACACAUGCAAGUCGAGCGCACCCUUCGGGGCGAGCGGCGGACGGGUUAGUAACGCGUGGGAAUGUACCCAGAUCUACGGAAUACCCUCGGGAAACUAAUAUUAAUACCGUAUACCCCCCUCGGGGGAAAGAUUUAUCGAAUUUGGAUCAGCCCGCAUCACAUUAGAUAGUUGGUGGGGUAAUGGACUACCAAAUCUACGAUCUAUACCUGGUUUUACAGAAUGAUCAUCAACACUGGGACUGAAACACGGCCCAUACUCCUACGGGAGGCAGCAUUGGGGAAUCUUAUACAAUGGGCGCAAGCCUGAUCUAACCUUGCCUCGUAUGUGAUGAACGCCUUAGGGUCGUAAAGCACUUUCGCCAGGGAUGAUAAUGACUGUACCUGAUAAAGAAACCCCGGCUAACUCCGUACCAUCGGCCGCGGUAUUACCGAGGGGGUUAGCAUCGUUCGCAAUUACUGGCCAUAAAGCGCACAUAUGCGGAUCAAAUACUUGGGGGUGAUAUCCCGGGGC
rnacentral:rRNA from 1 species